CCAAUAGCGUAUAUUAAAGUUGUUGCAGUUAAAAAGCUCGUAGUUGAACCUCGGGAUCAAUGGAUCGGUCAUGCCAUCGGUAUGUACUGGUCUCAUUGGUUCUCACCUUCUAAGGAACCAUGAUGUCAUUCAGUUGAUGUUGUGGGGAAUUAGGACUGUUACCUUGAAAAAAUUAGAGUGUUUAAAGCAGGCUAACGCUUGAAUACAUUAGCAUGGAAUAAUGAAAUAGGACAUCGCAUUCUAUUUUGUUGGUUUCUAGGAUCGAUGUAAUGAUUAAUAGGGUUAGUUGGGGGCAUUAGUAUUCAAUUGUCAGAGGUGAAAUUCUUGGAUUUAUUGAAGACUAACUACUGCGAAAGCAUUUGCCAAGGAUGUUUUCAUUAAUCAAGAACGAAAGUUAGGGGAUCGAAGACGAUCAGAUACCGUCGUAGUCUUAACCAUAAACUAUGCCGACUAGGGAUCGGAUGAUGUUGAUUUUUUAAUGACUCAUUCGGCACCUUACG
rnacentral:rRNA from 1 species